rnacentral:rRNA from 1 species
CAGUAGCCACGGUAAUACGUAGGUGGCGAGCGUUGUCCGGAAUUAUUGGGCGUAAAGGGAGCGCAGGCGGGCGAGUAAGUCUUUCUUAAAAGUGCGGGGCUCAACCCCGUGAGGGGAGAGAAACUACUCAUCUUGAGUGCAGGAGAGGAAAGCGGAAUUCCUAGUGUAGCGGUGAAAUGCGUAGAUAUUAGGAAGAACACCAGUGGCGAAGGCGGCUUUCUGGACUGUAACUGACGCUGAGGCUCGAAAGCCAGGGGAGCGAACGGGAUUAGAUACCCCAGUAGUCCCUGUCUCUUAUACA